rnacentral:rRNA from 1 species
GACGAACGCUGGCGGCGUGCCUAAUACAUGCAAGUCGAGCGAGACUCUUCGGAGUCUAGCGGCGGACGGGUGAGUAACACGUGGGCAACCUGCCUGUAAGACUGGGAUAACACCGGGAAACCGGUGCUAAUACCGGAUAAUCCUUUUCCUCUCAUGAGGAAAAGCUGAAAGUCGGUUUCGGCUGACACUUACAGAUGGGCCCGCGGCGCAUUAGCUAGUUGGUGAGGUAACGGCUCACCAAGGCGACGAUGCGUAGCCGACCUGAGAGGGUGAUCGGCCACACUGGGACUGAGACACGGCCCAGACUCCUACGGGAGGCAGCAGUAGGGAAUCUUCCACAAUGGACGAAAGUCUGAUGGAGCAACGCCGCGUGAGCGAUGAAGGCCUUCGGGUCGUAAAGCUCUGUUGUUAGGGAAGAACAAGUACCGGAGUAACUGCCGGUACCUUGACGGUACCUAACCAGAAAGCCACGGCUAACUACGUGCCAGCAGCCGCAGUAACAC